rnacentral:autocatalytically_spliced_intron from 1 species
CAAAAUACUUCAAAAUGUUUGUACGAUGUUUCUCACGAAAUAUCCGCUGCGUCAUGCGCGGCAACGUGAGCGACUGCAAACAGUUCAACGGCUCCUCAACGACUACACGCAGAACUCCACGAAGCUCAUCAAUCCGAUGCUGUUUCGGGAGAUGAUAUAGUCUGAACUGCAUGGCGACAUGCAG